rnacentral:ncRNA from 1 species
GGUCACGAGUGACAGCACGCGGCGUUCGCCGCUGAAGCCCCGGCUCGCUGUCCGGCAACCCUCCGACCGUGGUGGGGUGCCUCCGGGUGACGACCAGGCCUGCGGUGAGGUGCCGCCAGGCAAGCGCGUGUC